UUUUUAUGGAGAGUUUGAUCCUGGCUCAGAGUGAACGCUGGCGGCGUGCCUAAUACAUGCAAGUCGAACGGACAAGUAAGAGCUUGCUCUUAUGAGUUAGUGGCGCACGGGUGAGUAAUGUAUAGUUAAUCUGCCCUACACUGGAGGACAACAGUUAGAAAUGACUGCUAAUACUCCAUACUCCUUCUUAACACAAGUUAAGUCGGGAAAGUUUUUUCGGUGUAGGAUGAGACUAUAUUGUAUCAGCUAGUUGGUGAGGUAAUGGCUCACCAAGGCUAUGACGCAUAACUGGUCUGAGAGGAUGAUCAGUCACACUGGAACUGAGACACGGUCCAGACUCCUACGGGAGGCAGCAGUAGGGAAUAUUGCUCAAUGGGGGAAACCCUGAAGCAGCAACGCCGCGUGGAGGAUGACACUUUUCGGAGCGUAAACUCCUUUUGUUAGGGAAGAACAAUGACGGUACCUAACGAAUAAGCACCGGCUAACUCCGUGCCAGCAGCCGCGGUAAUACGGAGGGUGCAAGCGUUACUCGGAAUCACUGGGCGUAAAGGACGCGUAGGCGGAUUAUCAAGUCUUUUGUGAAAUCUAAUGGCUCAACCAUUAAACUGCUUGAGAAACUGAUAAUCUAGAGUGAGGGAGAGGCAGAUGGAAUUGGUGGUGUAGGGGUAAAAUCCGUAGAGAUCACCAGGAAUACCCAUUGCGAAGGCGAUCUGCUGGAACUUAACUGACGCUAAUGCGUGAAAGCGUGGGGAGCAAACAGGAUUAGAUACCCUGGUAGUCCACGCCCUAAACGAUGUAUACUAGUUGUUGCUGUGCUAGUCAUGGCAGUAAUGCACCUAACGGAUUAAGUAUACCGCCUGGGGAGUACGGUCGCAAGAUUAAAACUCAAAGGAAUAGACGGGGACCCGCACAAGCGGUGGAGCAUGUGGUUUAAUUCGAAGAUACGCGAAGAACCUUACCUGGGCUUGAUAUCCUAAGAACCUUGUAGAGAUACGAGGGUGCUAGCUUGCUAGAACUUAGUGACAGGUGCUGCACGGCUGUCGUCAGCUCGUGUCGUGAGAUGUUCGGUUAAGUCCGGCAACGAGCGCAACCCACGUAUUUAGUUGCUAACAGUUCGGCUGAGCACUCUAAAUAUACUGCCUUCGUAAGGAGGAGGAAGGUGUGGACGACGUCAAGUCAUCAUGGCCCUUAUGCCCAGGGCGACACACGUGCUACAAUGGCAUAUACAAUGAGACGCAAUAUCGCGAGAUGGAGCAAAUCUAUAAAAUAUGUCCCAGUUCGGAUUGUUCUCUGCAACUCGAGAGCAUGAAGCCGGAAUCGCUAGUAAUCGUAGAUCAGCCAUGCUACGGUGAAUACGUUCCCGGGUCUUGUACUCACCGCCCGUCACACCAUGGGAGUUGAUUUCACUCGAAGCCGGAAUACUAAACUAGUUACCGUCCACAGUGGAAUCAGCGACUGGGGUGAAGUCGUAACAAGGUAACCGUAGGAGAACCUGCGGUUGGAUCACCUCCU
rnacentral:rRNA from 1 species